rnacentral:rRNA from 2 species
UGGGGAAUAUUGGGCAAUGGGCGAAAGCCUGACCCAGCAACGCCGCGUGAAGGAAGAAGGUUUUCGGAUUGUAAACUUCUGUCCUCAGGGAAGAAGGAAGUGACGGUACCUGAGGAGGAAGCCCCGGCUAACUACGUGCCAGCAGCCGCGGUAAUACGUAGGGGGCGAGCGUUGUCCGGAAUGACUGGGCGUAAAGGGCGCGUAGACGGUUUUUUAAGUCUGGAGUGAAAGUCCUGCUUUCAAGGUGGGAAUUGCUUUGGAGACUGGGGGACUUGAGUGCGGAAGAGGUAAGUGGAAUUCCCAGUGUAGCGGUGAAAUGCGUAGAGAUUGGGAAGAACACCAGUGGCGAAGGCGACUUACUGGGCCGUAACUGACGUUGAUGCGCGAAAGCGUGGGGAGCGAACAGG